CCUCAGAAUAUCUCUUUUCCACUUUGUCGGAGACGACUUGCACACUUUGCCAUCCGUCCAAUGCGCAGAUGUUGUUCUUGACUCCAAAGAAAGCCCUGAAGCUGUGUGCCGGGUGUAAGCUGACCCGCUACUGCAGCCGUGACUGUCAGAUACAACACUGGUCUGUCGGACACAAGAAGUGCUGUGGGCAUGACGCGUACACCGCAACAACUCCUUUCCAAAAUAUGGUUUCAAUAAUGGAAAAUCACAUCCGGGCAAAAGCACAUAUUAGCCAAGCCGUCAAAGAAUUCCCGGCCAUUUUUACUACUAGUCCCUCGACUUAAACCCCAGCUUGGAGAAAAAACUCAUUUUUACAACUUUGUGCAUCUUCAGCGACGGCAUGUUAUUUCUUCUCAUUCCACACAAUUAAAGACCUGUUGAUCACUCGAGGCCGCUACAGCAUAUAUCAAAUGUAGCAUAAGAAAGUGGAAUGUUACUAAAGCCUUAGGCUAAGCACUAAACGAUGUACUAGUACAUAUAUUGAAUUGAUGGUCAUCUCUUCCUUUUUUUUUCAGAGAUAUGAAUCGCUCAAGGUAUGAAAGUAAGAAGAUAUACAUGUAGAUGUAAAUGCCCCUUUGCGGUAUUGCACACCUAUAUGUAAAAGAAACACUUGACAGGAAUUGUAGAAGACGUUUCACAAGUGUAACGGCUCCGAUGAACUCUAAGGUGACAAGACUUUUAUCCAACACUUAAAGACUUUGUUUAAGGGAAGUUAUCAUAAGUAGGCCUUUUUAUGUCUGUUUGCACAUUGUAGCCAUUGGUCAGUGUUAUCAACAAUUGUGUAUGUAUGACAGUGCUGUCUUCAUUUGAUACAUGAAUCUGACUUGUCGUAUGCGUAUACAUUGUAUUAAUUUAAGUGUUGAAGCGCAAUAAUGGUGUUCUGUAGUCAUUCCAUGGUAUCAUCACUCUUGUUGCAACAUCUAAGCGGCCAUGUCUAUGAAUAAAUAACCACUACUGGGCACUUCGACAUAUUCAAGUGUAGUUUUUACCAUGGAUUAUUGUAAUAAAGUCGUUUUUGGCUCAUGAA